CUGCAAUCUGUCCCCAUCUCCUUCUGUCACCUCCGUCUCUGACUGAGCCAGAGAAUCCAGGUCCUUUUAACUCUCUCCCUCAUCUUUACAUCUAACUUGUCUCCAUGUCCAGAAGUUUCUGCCAGCUAAACUGCCCCCCAACCCAGGUACCACACUCUUUCCUGGAUCCUCCCCAUGGCCCCUUUGCUGCUUCUGUCCUUGUCUUCCUACAGUCCAUGCUCCAUGUGCAACCAGGAUUUAGGAUUAUGAUAUGUUGAUCAGAAUUCAGCGUAAGUGAGACUGCGUUUCCCAGCUCCGAGCCCUCUGUGGCUCCUGGUGGUCCUAGAGGGAAAAGCCAAUGCUAUCACUGUGAACUAUGAGACCCAGACUAGCCUCCUCCCUGUCGGCUGGACACACCAGUUACAGCCCACCACAGGCCCUUUGCACGUGCUAUAGAGUCUUCUAGCUUCUACCAGCUGAGUCCCACCUUCGGCUCUCAGCCCAGAAGUUUGAGUUCAGGGAACCUGGAGCCUGCAAGCAUUCUGAACCUGAUUCAGCUGAUGAUAAGCAAGGAUCAGAGACCUCUGGCAGGGGUUUUGGGACCAUCCAUUCAGGGUGGAGCAUGCAGGGCAGACUUGAGCCGGGGGAGGCUGGGCCAGAGGAAUAGAGGGCGGGACAGAGACCAGUGACUGCAGUGUCCACGUGGACUGGGGCAGAAGGAAGUAUGGUGAGCCGAGCGCCUGCACAGAGCUGGAUCUGACCCCAGGACACACUCGCUACUCCAUGUGGUCUGCCCUGGGCUUUGAACCUGGAGUACGCGUCGGGGUGCGCAGCGGCCUGGCCGUCGAUGAUGGGGAGAACCUCCCCAAGCCCGGCCCCCAGAGCUCGGAGCGUCAGAGACAAGUGAGUUGCUGUCUCCCACUGCUUCCGGGUGCCGCCUGCUGGCUUCCCCGCUCCUGUGAUGGGGACAUUUUUGGAGAAAUUAAAAAUAAAGUUGUUGUUUUUUUUUUUCUAAAUUAUGAAAUGAACAUGGUUGGGGGGGUUUCUAAAAUAAACGUAUUAAGAUACUCUGCCGACAGGCGUGUGCCCGGGAGCAAGGACAUGGAGCUGAUGUGAGUGGCAGCCGGACCGCAGGCAGCCUUACUCGAGAGCUCUGCGCUCCUCCCGGCUGAGUCAUAAAAAUCAGAAAACGAAGUGUGAGCGCACGGACUCCGGAUACUAACGGGGAGGGGUUCUUUCCGCGGCUGUCGGCUUGUUCCCACUGACCCGGGUGCCCCCAACCAGCCCGAGCCAGUGGGGGUCCAGCAGCUGCUCUUACACCCUCCUGUCUCUUUUCUAUGACAAACCCCUUGAUUUUCUAAGCAGGUAACUCACAGAAUGGCUUAGAGCCCUCUCUGGCUCCCUACUGCCCGGGAAUGAAAUCCCAGCUCCUGGUCUCAGCCUCCCUGGCUGGUGUGAGCCGGCCCUGGCGGCUCUCAGGCGCCGCUCUCAGGAGCCACUCUCCCACCAGAUGUCCUGCUGGGCUCCUUCUUGCCCCUUAGUCCUAGUUCCAAAGUCCCUGGGUGUCCGCUGAGAUGUCACCCCUGCUCCCCAGACCCCAGAUAGCUUCCCGCGUCUCCUUGUCUAAGCUUCCCCACCCC
rnacentral:lncRNA from 1 species